CUAGCCCCCGCCGCCAGC
rnacentral:misc_RNA from 1 species